rnacentral:lncRNA from 1 species
AUCGUAUCCCAGAAUGCACUGGGGCUGAGGAUUCUCUGACAGACAGGAUGUACUGGGACAAACCUCUGCCUGGAUGUCCUGGAGCUCGUAAACAGAUGUUCAUUCAGAGUCUGAUGAGAAGCAGAGCAUGCUGGGAGUCUGAGUGUAGACCUGUAAGUCUGUCGCCUCCCACUUUUACAUCCCAGUGGUUUUAUUGAUCAGUUAAUCUUUCAGCCUCCAGAUAUGAUUAUUGACUUCAGCACUUCAAGUUUUCCUCUGGUUCAGACGAAUCACAACCUCUAAAAAAAACUGAUGAUGAGAUGUUCACCUCUAUCCAACCAUGACUCAGCAUCUUUAAUGGUUUUAGUUUUUCCCACCAUGUGUCUGUUGAGCUCUUCUCCUUCAUCUCCCUGCCUGCUGCAAUGAUCUCCAGCUCCACCCCCCUCUCUCUCCGUCUCCAUCCUCUCCUCCACCUCUCCACGCUCCUCUCUCUGUUGACCCAGAGCUCCAGCGUUCCCAGAGGCAGGAGAUGGUUCUACAGUAUCACUUUGAUCACCUGGACUCUGACGGCGUGCUCAACGAGCGUGAAGCUAGGACGCUGCGUCACUUCCUGCGAAGGCGUCUGAAGCCACGGCGUUGUGCUAAGAAGUUCACCCAGUCCUGUGACAGAGACGCAGACGGCAGGAGCUCAGAGUGUGUGUGGCCCUCACAGAUGAAACUCAGAGAAAUGCUCCUCGAUGAGGCGUCAGACGGCGGCUGAACACUUUCCUCCUGAUUUCUUACAAUCAUCAAAGUUUUUAUCACAGAUUCAGACAAUUACAAACACCUAACGUACAAAUGUUCUGAGAACCGGGAGAAAAGGCGUUGACUAUGGUUCUGGACCCAGAACCGCUGUGGGUCAGAAGUCUGUGAAAUUUUGUGAUUUUUCAAUAAACUGACCCACGUUAAUGAAGCGUGUGUUUAA